rnacentral:rRNA from 1 species
AGGGCACCACCAGGAGUGGAGCCUGCGGCUCAAUUUGACUCAACACGGGAAAACUUACCCGGCCCGGACACUGGAAGGAUUGACAGAUUGAGAGCUCUUUCUUGAUUCAGUGGGUGGUGGUGCAUGGCCGUUCUUAGUUUGGUGGAGCGAUUUGUCUGGGUUAAUUCCGAUAACGAACGAGACUCUAGCCUACUAAACUAGACGAUCGAUCCCUUUGUUGACGGUCAGUCAGUCAGCUUUCAUAGAAGAGACGGGGCACUCUUUUAGCCCGUAAGAGAUUCGAUAUUACCCGGUUGUGACGUCCCUUGAUCGUUGCGCUGCCCGGCUCUAAAAGGAAUCAUCAGCGAUGAUUACCCCUCGAACGGUAGGGAAACCCGUGAACCCUUCUCGAUGGAUAGAAUAUAUUUUCCCCCGAACAGGAUUCCUGUAGCGCCGACUAACGUGGCGGAUUACUCCUGCCGUUGGGAACACGCCGGCUCUUCAAAAGAUGGGAUUAUAAGGCACUGCAAGGUUGUAGAG